GAUGAAGAACGUAGCGAAAUGCGAUAAGUAAUGUGAAUUGCAGAAUUCAGUGAAUCAUCGAAUCUUUGAACGCACAUUGCGCCCGCCAGUAUUCUGGCGGGCAUGCCUGUUCGAGCGUCAUUUCAACCAUCAAGACCCAGGCUUGUGUUGGGGACCUGCGGCUGCCGCAGGCCCUGAAAACCAGUGGCGGGCUCGCUGUCACACCGGGCGUAGUAGAUUUUAUCUCGCUCAGGGCGUGCUGCGGGUUCCGGCCGUUAAAAAGCCUUUUUUACCCAAGGUUGACCUCGGAUCAGGUAGGAAGACCCGCUGAACUUAAGCAUAUCAAUAAGCGGAGGA
rnacentral:misc_RNA from 1 species